CCGUCGCUCCGGGUAGAUAGUGGCGACGGGUGAGUACACGUGAGUAACCUGCCCUUAACUCUGGGAUAAGCCUGGGAAACUGGGUCUAAUACCGGAUAUGACUCCUCAUCGCAUGGUGGGGGGUGGAAAGCUUUAUUGUGGUUUUGGAUGGACUCGCGGCCUAUCAGCUUGUUGGUGAGGUAAUGGCUCACCAAGGCGACGACGGGUAGCCGGCCUGAGAGGGUGACCGGCCACACUGGGACUGAGACACGGCCCAGACUCCUACGGGAGGCAGCAGUGGGGAAUAUUGCACAAUGGGCGAAAGCCUGAUGCAGCGACGCCGCGUGAGGGAUGACGGCCUUCGGGUUGUAAACCUCUUUCAGUAGGGAAGAAGCGAAAGUGACGGUACCUGCAGAAGAAGCGCCGGCUAACUACGUGCCAGCAGCCGCGGUAAUACGUAGGGCGCAAGCGUUAUCCGGAAUUAUUGGGCGUAAAGAGCUCGUAGGCGGUUUGUCGCGUCUGCCGUGAAAGUCCGGGGCUCAACUCCGGAUCUGCGGUGGGUACGGGCAGACUAGAGUGAUGUAGGGGAGACUGGAAUUCCUGGUGUAGCGGUGAAAUGCGCAGAUAUCAGGAGGAACACCGAUGGCGAAGGCAGGUCUCUGGGCAUUAACUGACGCUGAGGAGCGAAAGCAUGGGGAGCGAACAGGAUUAGAUACCCUGGUAGUCCAUGCCGUAAACGUUGGGCACUAGGUGUGGGGGACAUUCCACGUUUUCCGCGCCGUAGCUAACGCAUUAAGUGCCCCGCCUGGGGAGUACGGCCGCAAGGCUAAAACUCAAAGGAAUUGACGGGGGCCCGCACAAGSGGCGGAGCAUGCGGAUUAAUUCGAUGCAACGCGAAGAACCUUACCAAGGCUUGACAUGAACCGGAAAUACCUGGAAACAGGUGCCCCGCUUGCGGUCGGUUUACAGGUGGUGCAUGGUUGUCGUCAGCUCGUGUCGUGAGAUGUUGGGUUAAGUCCCGCAACGAGCGCAACCCUCGUUCUAUGUUGCCAGCGCGUGAUGGCGGGGACUCAUAGGAGACUGCCGGGGUCAACUCGGAGGAAGGUGGGGACGACGUCAAAUCAUCAUGCCCCUUAUGUCUUGGGCUUCACGCAUGCUACAAUGGCCGGUACAAAGGGUUGCGAUACUGUGAGGUGGAGCUAAUCCCAAAAAGCCGGUCUCAGUUCGGAUUGGGGUCUGCAACUCGACCCCAUGAAGUCGGAGUCGCUAGUAAUCGCAGGUUUG
rnacentral:rRNA from 1 species